rfam:Serratia sp. M24T3 contig08, whole genome shotgun sequence.
GAAUUUUGGAUUAACGCCCGUUUAAACCCGGGCCUUGUGGAAG